UUGGUUAAAAAAUACACAUUAAGAAUUCAGA
rnacentral:piRNA from 1 species